rnacentral:rRNA from 1 species
AGAGUUUGAUCCUGGCUCAGAACGAACGCUGGCGGCAGGCCUAACACAUGCAAGUCGAACGCCUCAGCAAUGGGGAGUGGCAGACGGGUGAGUAACGCGUGGGAACGUGCCCAUCGGUUUGGGAUAACCCAGGGAAACUUGGGCUAAUACCGGAUACGUGCGGAAGCAGAAAGAUUUAUCGCCGAUGGAUCGGCCCGCGUCUGAUUAGCUAGUUGGUGGGGUAAUGGCUCACCAAGGCGACGAUCAGUAGCUGGUCUGAGAGGAUGAUCAGCCACACUGGGACUGAGACACGGCCCAGACUCCUACGGGAGGCAGCAGUGGGGAAUAUUGGACAAUGGGCGCAAGCCUGAUCCAGCCAUGCCGCGUGAGUGAUGAAGGCCUUAGGGUUGUAAAGCUCUUUUACCCGGGAAGAUAAUGACUGUACCGGGAGAAUAAGCCCCGGCUAACUCCGUGCCAGCAGCGGCGGUAAUAC